GACGAACGCUGGCGGCGUGCCUAACACACGCAAGUCGAGCGAUGAAGUUCCUUCGGGAACGGAUUAGCGGCGGACGGGUGAGUAACACGUGGGUAACCUGCCUCAUAGAGGGGAAUAGCCUUCCGAAAGGAAGAUUAAUACCGCAUAAGAUUGUAGUUUCGCAUGAAACAGCAAUUAAAGGAGUAAUCCGCUAUGAGAUGGACCCGCGUCGCAUUAGCUAGUUGGUGAGGUAACGGCUCACCAAGGCGACGAUGCGUAGCCGACCUGAGAGGGUGAUCGGCCACAUUGGGACUGAGACACGGCCCAGACUCCUACGGGAGGCAGCAGUGGGGAAUAU
rnacentral:rRNA from 1 species